rnacentral:rRNA from 1 species
AUGAACCUUUUUCGCGCAAGCACAACCAUAACUUUGGGAGAUGGCCGCAAGGCACUUUUCUGGCAUGACAACUGGAGUGGAAGGGGCCCUCUAACGCUACUUGCGCCGGAGCUUUACAAAAUAGCUUCAAGGAAAAAUAGGACCGUGCAUCAGGAGUUGACAAAUGAUAACUGGAUCAGAGCAGUCACUAGCCUUCGAUCCCUGCAACAACUGGGGGAAUUUGUCACUCUAUGGGACACAAUCUCCUGGAACCUGACCACUAAUGGAGCCUACUCUUCCGCAUCGGCCUAUGCGGCGCAGUUCUUUGGCUCACACCCAAGAUUUGACUCUUCAAAGGUCUGGUCUGCUUACGCUGAGCCCAAGUGCAAAUUCUUUGCGUGGCUAGUCCUGCAUGGUAGAAUCCUCACCGCAGAUAUGUUGGCUAUUCGCGGCUGGCCACAUGACCCAAGGUGUCAGCUAUGUCUUCAGCAGCCAGAAAUGGCAACCCAUCUUUGCAAGGACUGUCCCUUCGCGGUCGUUGUUUGGAACCAGGUAAACACCUGGACAAACGAGGGUCUCGCCAUCUCACGUUUCUUGCCUGAGCCAGGCAUUAUUUCUGACGGGUGGGACAAGAUGCUAGUAGAUGAGCCAUCCCAAGUACGGAGACGGAGAAGAAGUAGGAUCAUCUACACAAUUUGGGCUAUCUGGAAAGAGAGGAACAAACGCAUUUUCACAGGAGAACGCAUGACUCAUCGCGAGGUUGCUCUACUAGCUUUCAAGGCCAUUAAGCAACGGGAUAUGGCUUUCGUUGGGGCCUUUCCAUCUGUCGGCAUAAGCUGA